rnacentral:lncRNA from 1 species
GGCCUACUUAUUCGGUUCAUCUUAACGUUGUUUAAUAAAUGAAUUUUCUUCUGAUCGUUGAUUUAAAGCACUGCCAAUGAAUUUCCCUACCCAAUUAAGGCUCAUUCGUCGUUAUGUCCAAUUUGUCAAAAGGAACAAAAUAUGUUUCAGAACAGAAGUGUAUUUAUAACGUGUUUCAAUAGAAAAUGGGGAUGGGAAUUUCCGGCAAAAUUUAGUUUUCAAUUGAAAACAAUGUCGCUGAUCGUAGAACUGAGACAAAUUGACGGUCAGUUUAUUAUAUUCUAGCUAUUAAUUAGAAAACAUAUUUUUGAGUCGAGAAAAAAUAUGGUUUAUAUUUACAUGUACGUAAAGUUGCAUUACAUUUUGACAAGAUAUAACGGCAAAGGCUUUUGUGCAAUGUAAUAAAAAUAAUUAUAUAUAAACCGGGUAUAUGCAGUAGCU